UCCCAAGUGACUCAGUGGUAAAGAAUCUGCCUGCAAUGCAGGAGACCCAGGUUCGAUCCCUGAGUUGUGAA
rnacentral:tRNA from 1 species